UAGGGAAUCUUCCACAAUGGGCGCAAGCCUGAUGGAGCAACACCGCGUGAGUGAAGAAGGGUUUCGGCUCGUAAAGCUCUGUUGUUAAAGAAGAACACGUAUGAGAGUAACUGUUCAUACGUUGACGGUAUUUAACCAGAAAGUCACGGCUAACUACGUGCCAGCAGCCGCGGUAAUACGUAGGUGGCAAGCGUUAUCCGGAUUUAUUGGGCGUAAAGAGAGUGCAGGCGGUUUUCUAAGUCUGAUGUGAAAGCCUUCGGCUUAACCGGAGAAGUGCAUCGGAAACUGGAUAACUUGAGUGCAGAAGAGGGUAGUGGAACUCCAUGUGUAGCGGUGGAAUGCGUAGAUAUAUGGAAGAACACCAGUGGCGAAGGCGGCUACCUGGUCUGCAACUGACGCUGAGACUCGAAAGCAUGGGUGGCGAACAGGAUUAGAUACCCUGGUAG
rnacentral:rRNA from 1 species